rnacentral:rRNA from 1 species
AUUGAACGCUGGCGGCAGGCCUAACACAUGCAAGUCGAGCGGAUGAAGGGAGCUGGCUCCUGGAUUCAGCGGCGGACGGGUGAGUAAUGCCUAGGAAUCUGCCUUGUCUUGGGGAAUACCGUAGGAAAACGGGGCCUAAUCCCGCAACGGACCGUAGGUGGAAGGUGGGGGUUCGUCGGCCUCAACGCUUUCGGAUGGACCUGGGUCGGAUUAGCUAGUUGGUGGGGUAAGGGCCUACCAAGGCGACGAUCCGUAACUGGUCUGAGAGGGUGAUCAGUCACACUGGAACUGAGACACGGUCCAGACUCCUACGGGAGGCAGCAGUGGGGAAUAUUGGACAAUGGGCGAAAGCCUGAUCCAGCCAUGCCGCGUGUGUGAAGAAGGUCUUCGGAUUGUAAAACACUUUUAGUUGGGAAGAAGGGCAGUAAGUGAAUACCUUGCUGUUUUGACGGUACCAACAGAAUAAGCACCGGCUAACUUCGUG